rnacentral:ncRNA from 1 species
AUACCAUUGCGGUCAAGUUAGCAAUGUAUAAUUUUUUCCUAAUGACCAAAAUACCCUUAGGACGAAAACUUCCAAAUUUUGGUCAAAAAUUCUGAAAUAUCAGAUUGUAAAACUUCCAAAGUUUUAGAUGGGAAACUUCUGUGCUAGUUAAUAAUAUGUUAUUUUGGAUUUUUUUUGCCAAAUUUAGUAAAUUUUUGUCCCAAGGAUGGCUAAAAUCCAGUAGCCGAAAGCAUCACUAGCUUACGCUCUAAUCCCGAGUAGCAUGGGACACGUGGAAUCCUGUGUGAACCAACAAGAGCCACCUUGCAAGGCUAAAUACUCCUGGGUGACCGAUAGUGAUGUAGUACGGUGAGGGAAAGGUGAAAAGAACCCCCAGUGGGUAGUGAAAUAGAACGUGAAA